rnacentral:rRNA from 1 species
AGUCGGCCUGCGCGGAAGAUGUAACGGGGCUAAGUAGUAAACCGAAGCUGCGGCAAUAUACUUUUGUAUAUUGGGUAGGGGAGCGUUCUGUAAGCGGUUGAAGGUGUGUGGUAACGCAUGCUGGACGUAUCAGAAGUGCGAAUGCUGACAUGAGUAACGAUAAAGGGGGUGAAAAACCUCCUCGCCGGAAGACCAAGGGUUCCUGUCCAACGUUAAUCGGGGCAGGGUAAGUCGACCCCUAAGGCGAGGCCGAAAGGCGUAGUCGAUGGGAAACGGGUUAAUAUUCCCGUACUUCUUACAAUUGCGAUGGGGGGACGGAGAAGGCUAGGUGGGCCUGGCGACGGUUGUCCAGGUUCAAGUGCGU